GAUAAUUGACAAGAACAUAGAGAGAUUGAACGGACAGAUUUAGAAAAUUUUGGUUUUGGUUUUUUGAAUCUGUCACCUUCUAGCUGUUGAUUUUAGUUCUUUGGUAUAUAAAAGGGGCAAUUUCUCUUAGAUUUUUUCUUUAGCUUCGGAAACCAUAGAACGAAAUUGGCAGUUCUUUUUGUUGGAUUUUGGGUUUUAAAGCUGCAAUUUGCUUGAUUCAGUCCGAGAUUACCAACGCAAUCGAUGUGUGUUGAUUCCUGUUGGUGAGUUGGACUCAGACUAUCAUUUUGUUCCCUUUCUUUUCGGUUGUCCUGCUUAUAGGUACGUACAUAUUUGAAGUUUUAACUCCCUG
rnacentral:lncRNA from 1 species